rnacentral:rRNA from 1 species
GAUGAACGCUGGCGGCGUGCCUAAUACAUGCAAGUCGAGCGAACGGACGAGAAGCUUGCUUUUCUGAUGUUAGCGGCGGACGGGUGAGUAACACGUGGAUAACCUACCUAUAAGACUGGGAUAACUUCGGGAAACCGGAGCUAAUACCGGAUAAUAUUUUGAACCGCAUGGUUCAAAAGUGAAAGACGGUCUUGCUGUCACUUAUAGAUGGAUCCGCGCUGCAUUAGCUAGUUGGUAAGGUAACGGCUUACCAAGGCAACGAUGCAUAGCCGACCUGAGAGGGUGAUCGGCCACACUGGAACUGAGACACGGUCCAGACUCCUACGGGAGGCAGCAGUAGGGAAUCUUCCGCAAUGGGCGAAAGCCUGACGGAGCAACGCCGCGUGAGUGAUGAAGGUCUUCGGAUCGUAAAACUCUGUUAUUAGGGAAGAACAUAUGUGUAAGUAACUGUGCACAUCUUGACGGUACCUAAUCAGAAAGCCACGGCUAACUACGUGCCAGCAGCCGCGGUAAUACGUAGGUGGCAAGCGUUAUCCGGAAUUAUUGGGCGUAAAGCGCGCGUAGGCGGUUCUUUAAGUCUGAUGUGAAAGCCCACGGCUCAACCGUGGAGGGUCAUUGGAAACUGGAAAACUUGAGUGCAGAAGAGGAAAGUGGAAUUCCAUGUGUAGCGGUGAAAUGCGCAGAGAUGUGGAGGAACACCAGUGGCGAAGGCGACUUUCUGGUCUGUAACUGACGCUGAUGUGCGAAAGCGUGGGGAUCAAACAGGAUUAGAUACCCUGGUAGUCCACGCCGUAAACGAUGAGUGCUAAGUGUUAGGGGGUUUCCGCCCCUUAGUGCUGCAGCUAACGCAUUAAGCACUCCGCCUGGGGAGUACGACCGCAAGGUUGAAACUCAAAGGAAUUGACGGGGGCCCGCACAAGCGGUGGAGCAUGUGGUUUAAUUCGAAGCAACGCGAAGAACCUUACCAAAUCUUGACAUCCUUUGACAACUCUAGAGAUAGAGCCUUCCCCUUCGGGGGACAAAGUGACAGGUGGUGCAUGGUUGUCGUCAGCUCGUGUCGUGGGAUGUUGGGUUAAGUCCCGCAACGAGCGCAACCCUUAAGCUUAGUUGCCAUCAUUAAGUUGGGCACUCUAAGUUGACUGCCGGUGACAAACCGGAGGAAGGUGGGGAUGACGUCAAAUCAUCAUGCCCCUUAUGAUUUGGGCUACACACGUGCUACAAUGGACAAUACAAAGGGCAGCGAAACCGCGAGGUCAAGCAAAUCCCAUAAAGUUGUUCUCAGUUCGGAUUGUAGUCUGCAACUCGACUACAUGAAGCUGGAAUCGCUAGUAAUCGUAGAUCAGCAUGCUACGGUGAAUACGUUCCCGGGUCU